AAAUAACAAAUUAUCACAAUCGUUGGUUGUGGAAUUGGGCCCUUAUUUCGAACAGACUUAUGGCCUUAAAUUUACGCCAUGUGCUUAAUUCGAACCAAACGGAGCAAUUAAACAUUCUCUCGUUAGACGGAUUAUUCACAAGCAUACGAUUUUUUGGACGACGAAAAGCACUCUCGCGAGCGCGAAGCCCAAGAUCGUAAAUUUAAUUGAC
rnacentral:misc_RNA from 1 species